GCAUAUCAAUAAGCGGAGGAAAAGAAACCAACAGGGAUUGCCCCAGUAACGGCGAGUGAAGCGGCAAGAGCUCAAAUUUGAAAGCUGGCCCCCUCGGGGUCCGCAUUGUAAUUUGCAGAGGAUGCUUCGGGAGCGGCCCCCAUCUAAGUACCCUGGAACGGGUCGUCAUAGAGGGUGAGAAUCCCGUAUGGGAUGGGGUGUCCGCGCCCGUGUGAAGCUCCUUCGACGAGUCGAGUUGUUUGGGAAUGCAGCUCUAAAUGGGUGGUAAAUUUCAUCUAAAGCUAAAUAUUGGCCGGAGACCGAUAGCGCACAAGUAGAGUGAUCGAAAGAUGAAAAGCACUUUGAAAAGAGAGUUAAAAAGCACGUGAAAUUGUUGAAAGGGAAGCGCUUGCGACCAGACUCGCCCGCGGGGUUCAGCCGGCAUUCGUGCCGGUGUACUUCCCCGCGGGCGGGCCAGCGUCGGUUUGGGCGGCCGGUCAAAGGCCCUCGGAAUGUAACGCCCCCCGGGGCGUCUUAUAGCCGAGGGUGCCAUGCGGCCUGCCCGGACCGAGGAACGCGCUUCGGCUCGGACGCUGGCAUAAUGGUCGUAAGCGACCCGUCUUGAAACACGGACC
rnacentral:rRNA from 1 species